rnacentral:rRNA from 1 species
GUGAGGCGCAGCUUACACAUGCAGUCGAGCGCACUCUUCGGAGUGAGCGGCGGACGGGUUAGUAACGCGUGGGAACGUGCCCUUCUCUAAGGAAUAGCCACUGGAAACGGUGAGUAAUACCUUAUACGCCCUUCGGGGGAAAGAUUUAUCGGAGAAGGAUCGGCCCGCGUUAGAUUAGAUAGUUGGUGGGGUAAUGGCCUACCAAGUCUACGAUCUAUAGCUGGUUUUAGAGGAUGAUCAGCAACACUGGGACUGAGACACGGCCCAGACUCCUACGGGAGGCAGCAGUGGGGAAUCUUGGACAAUGGGCGCAAGCCUGAUCCAGCCAUGCCGCGUGAGUGAUGAAGGCCUUAGGGUCGUAAAGCUCUUUCGCCAGAGAUGAUAAUGACAGUAUCUGGUAAAGAAACCCCGGCUAACUCCGUGCCAGCAGCCGCGGUAAUACGGAGGGGGUUAGCGUUGUUCGGAAUUACUGGGCGUAAAGCGCACGUAGGCGGAUCAGAAAGUAUAGGGUGAAAUCCCAGGGCUCAACCCUGGAACUGCCUUGUAAACUCCUGGUCUUGAGUUCGAGAGAGGUGAGUGGAAUUCCGAGUGUAGAGGUGAAAUUCGUAGAUAUUCGGAGGAACACCAGUGGCGAAGGCGGCUCACUGGCUCGAUACUGACGCUGAGGUGCGAAAGUGUGGGGAGCAAACAGGAUUAGAUACCCUGGUAGU